rnacentral:rRNA from 1 species
GACGAACGCUGGCGGCGUGCUUAACACAUGCAAGUCGAACGGAAAGGCCCUGCUUUUGUGGGGUGCUCGAGUGGCGAACGGGUGAGUAACACGUGAGUAACCUGCCCUUGACUUUGGGAUAACUUCAGGAAACUGGGGCUAAUACCGGAUAGGAGCUCCUGCUGCAUGGUGGGGGUUGGAAAGUUUCGGCGGUUGGGGCUGGACUCGCGGCUUAUCAGCUUGUUGGUGGGGUAGUGGCUUACCAAGGCUUUGACGGGUAGCCGGCCUGAGAGGGUGACCGGCCACAUGGGGACUGAGAUACGGCCCAGACGCCUACGGGAGGCAGCAGUGGGGAGUAUUGCACAAUGGGCGGAAGCCUGAUGCAGCAACGCCGCGUGCGGGAUGACGGCCUUCGGGUUGUAAACCGCUUUCGCCUGUGGCGAAGCGUGAGUGACGGUAAUGGGUAAAGAAGCACCGGCUAACUACGUG